UACGGAGGGGUGCAACGUUGCUCGGAAUCAUUGGGCGUAAAGCGCGACGUAGGCGGCUGAACAAGUUGGAUGGUGAAAGCCCUGGGCUCAACCUAGGAUGUGCAUUCAAAACUGUUCGGCUUGAAUCUCGGAGGGGGUCAGAGAAUUCCCGGUGUAGAGGUGAAAUUCGUAGAUAUCGGGAGGAACACCAGUGGCGAAGGCGCUGACCUGGACGAUGAUUGACGCUGAGGCGCGAAAGCGUGGG
rnacentral:rRNA from 1 species